rfam:Burkholderia sp. RPE64 DNA, chromosome 1, complete genome.
GCGAGGAUGGCGAAAUUGGUAGACGCACCAGGUUUAGGUCCUGACGCCCGCAAGGGUGUGGGGGUUCGAGUCCCCCUCCUCGCA